UACGAAGGGGGCUAGCGUUGCUCGGAAUUACUGGGCGUAAAGGGCUCGUAGGCGGCCAACUAAGUCGGAUGUGAAAUCCCCAGGCUUAACCUGGGAACUGCAUCCGAUACUGGAUGGCUUGAAUCCGGGAGAGGGAUGCAGAAUUCCAGGUGUAGCGGUGAAAUGCGUAGAUAUCUGGAGGAAUACCGGUGGCGAAGGCGGCAUCCUGGACCGGCAUUGACGCUGAUGAGCGAAAGCUAGGGGAGCAAACGGG
rnacentral:rRNA from 1 species